CACCAAUCCCCACACUAUUGCAGUAGUGUGGGGAUUUUUUCGAUGCUGGCUUAUAAAGUCGCCUAUUAAUUAUUUGUUGCGUUUACUAAGCCAAUAAGUAUAAUACGCAACAGCACAGCCACUGAUGACUGGUGCUAUGAUGUGAACGAAAAUGAUUAGCAAAGUAAUGCACCUCCUCUCUUCGUCGAUUGACGCCUGAGAGAUAGGCGACUCUAUUAUUAUACCAUCUGUGAAUAUACAAGCA
rnacentral:sRNA from 1 species